rnacentral:rRNA from 1 species
UACGUAGGGUGCGAGCGUUAAUCGGAAUUACUGGGCGUAAAGCGUGCGCAGGCGGUUUUGUAAGCCAGAUGUGAAAGCCCGGGGCUCACCCCCGGAAGGGCAUUGGAAACUGGCGGACUCGAGUCUCGGAGAGGAAGGUGGAAUUCCUGGUGUAGCGGUGAAAUGCGUAGAUAUCAGGAGGAAUACCGGUGGCGAAGGCGGCCUUCUGGACGAUGACUGACGCUGAGACGCGAAAGCGUGGGGAGCAAACAGG